GAACGCUGGCGGCGUGCCUAAUACAUGCAAGUCGAGCGAACAGACGAGGAGCUUGCUCCUCUGACGUUAGCGGCGGACGGGUGAGUAACACGUGGAUAACCUACCUAUAAGACUGGGAUAACUUCGGGAAACCGGAGCUAAUACCGGAUAAUAUAUUGAACCGCAUGGUUCAAUAGUGAAAGACGGUUUUGCUGUCACUUAUAGAUGGAUCCGCGCCGCAUUAGCUAGUUGGUAAGGUAACGGCUUACCAAGGCAACGAUGCGUAGCCGACCUGAGAGGGUGAUCGGCCACACUGGAACUGAGACACGGUCCAGACUCCUACGGGAGGCAGCAGUAGGGAAUCUUCCGCAAUGGGCGAAAGCCUGACGGAGCAACGCCGCGUGAGUGAUGAAGGUCUUCGGAUCGUAAAACUCUGUUAUUAGGGAAGAACAAAUGUGUAAGUAACUAUGCACGUCUUGACGGUACCUAAUCAGAAAGCCACGGCUAACUACGUGCCAGCAGCCGCGGUAAUACGUAGGUGGCAAGCGUUAUCCGGAAUUAUUGGGCGUAAAGCGCGCGUAGGCGGUUUUUUAAGUCUGAUGUGAAAGCCCACGGCUCAACCGUGGAGGGUCAUUGGAAACUGGAAAACUUGAGUGCAGAAGAGGAAAGUGGAAUUCCAUGUGUAGCGGUGAAAUGCGCAGAGAUAUGGAGGAACACCAGUGGCGAAGGCGACUUUCUGGUCUGUAACUGACGCUGAUGUGCGAAAGCGUGGGGAUCAAACAGGAUUAGAUACCCUGGUAGUCCACGCCGUAAACGAUGAGUG
rnacentral:rRNA from 1 species